CACAAAUCAUAAAAGGGCCACCAUUCCCCACUUCUGCUGUAGAACAAAACCUAGAUAGUUCCACCUUUUCCCUUUAAGCUGGUUUACCCAAAUCAAGUGCUUUUGGAGAUGCUAAACUGGGAAAGAAAAUAGAUAAUAUAUAAGAGCAGGGAAAGCCACCUUAUACAAAGAACUUGAUUGUAUGUUCUACAGGUUGUAAGUAUGCAGUACUAAAAAGCUAUUCAACUGUUGCCUCAAGGCACUAUUUUUUUUAAAAAAAAAACUUUUAAUGACUUAUUGAGUAAGAGUUGCAUUAAGUCAACUAACAAUUGUAGAUCAGAAGAUUCUCAACAGUUUUAGAAUUUUGUCAGAAUGCCAGAUUGUGACACGGGCUGCUGAAAGCCCACAGAGCAACAAUUCUAACUCCUGAAAAUCAUUGUCAGUCAACAAGAUAUCAAGAUGAAGGCAAACAUCAAGCUCUCUGGUAUCUCACUGUAUACAAAGCAGAGGUGGAAAAGGAGGAAAUGAUCAAGACUUUUUCUCAUUUGGCAUUCUCUGUGAAGUCAAAGGACAGUUUCUGCUGCACAGUAUUUUCUUCACCCAAGGUUGACCGAGGGAGUGGCAGCUCCUUGGUCAUACAGAGAUUGUUUUCUCUUUGCAGCCAAAGCAAUGGAUCAUUCAUAUUUUUGUUCAUUUUUUUAAAUGGAAAAGAGAGCUGAAAGGCAAUGUGGCAAUGCAUUUUUUUAAAAAUAAAUAAAUAAAAUAAAAUUAAUUAACAGGCAA